CUUCCCAAUUGACUAUCUUUUUUCAUUUCACAGAUUCAGUGAUUAUGCUUAUGGAAUAAAAUAUAGUUGCCAUGACAUGAUGGAAAAAAAGUAAUCAUGUCUUUUUUUUCUUACAUAUAAUGGCACAACAAUCUAGC